ACAAUAUUUGGAACAUGUGUUCCAGUAAACAGUUUGGAAUGGAGGGAUAAAUGAUAUUCUCUUUUCUUCACACUAUUUAUAGGAAAUAAGAUUCCAGGAUGUUGGUUCAGGAUUAUCCCACAGAUAAGUGAGGGAAAGCAUAUAGGCAUCUUCACAGCAGUUGAGAAAGCCUGCUUCAGAACUUGUUCAAAAAUUUACUUCCCAAAAUCAAAAGCUCUUCUUUUUC
rnacentral:lncRNA from 1 species